CCUCUCGCCCGUAGACUGCUGGAGAUAGACACCAGCUCCCCCGUGACCCACUAAUGAUGGAAAAUGAUGGACUGAAUUCAUAGCAUUUUCAAAGGUUUUGAUCACAAACAUUGUUUGAAUGAAAUUAUUUUUUAUUAUAUUGAAUAAUAAAAAGACAGAUUUCCCUCCAUAGGUGCCUCACUAACGGGUGAGAUAAUUCAGAUCUGUGCAAGAUUUAAUUUUCAAGGAAAGAAGAUAUUUCCCAUCGAGCCAGCUGUUCUGUUGGAUCUGAGUUCUGGUUCCUGAGUGGGUGAAGAGGAUCAGAGCGUCAGACAGAGAUGGUAAAAUAAAUCCAUCACUGUUUCCACCUCCCUGCAGCAGCACCAUCAAUCUCCAUCCCUCCUUAAACUCCGCCUUUGUUUGUCUGUAAAGUCACGACAAGCACGGCUCGGUGGGCGGUUCUGACGGCUCCUGUGUUCUUCAUUCAAAUCACAGAUUCUCUAUGCAGAUGAUCCAUGGAGGAUCUGAUUUCAUGCUGCAUAAUGAGGCUCAAACGGGUCGAGAUGAUACAUCCUUCACUUCUAUGCCUCAGAUUACAGACAGCCUCUGAUUACCAGAGGUUCUGAACUGAGCUCAGGAUAUGAACACAGACAUACUCUGAUGUUAAAGAAAAUGGAGCUCUGACCCAGCUUUCCACCAAGUUCUUUACAGAAAUACAAAGCUCUGCCAUUGCUCUGGUUCUGAUAAAAGCCUGGUUCAGCUUUUACUCUUACCCAGAAACAGAAGAAUCAAAAUGGCAUCUAAUUUGUUCUGGUAAUGUUAGGAGAAAUGAUCUGAAAGCUCCUCCGUGGCUGAUCUGGUCGAGGUCUUUUCCACGUAGCCUGCUGAGGUGUGAAGAUGCUGACGCCUGAAGCUCUGAUGACGAACAAUCGCUGUCACUUCAGCUCAGAGUGAGACAUCACUGUGGCCUUUACCGUCUCUGCCAGUGGGAAUAAACCAACACCAGGAGGUUUCCUCUCCUCCUUCUUCAAGUCUUUGAUUCAUGAAGAUCUGACCAGCAGAGUCCUGCUGCUUCAAAACUCAUCCAGCAAGUUCUACUGGAGCUCCUUUCAGAGGAGACGUUUCAUCCACGGUAUCCACUGCUGACAUACCUCCAAGCUGCCAACAGAUGUCACCAUAGAGCCAAGAUGGUGAGAUGAUUUGACACCAUGAGCACAUCUCCAUGACAACCAGAACCCUCAGCAGCUCAGAAGUAUAACACCGGUGGGUCCACUGCAACCCUGCUCCCAGGUUCGGUUCUAUAACACACUAAUUGAACAGUGAGGCCAGGUUCUUCUUGUCUGCUGCAAACAUUUGGGUUUGAUUUCACAACAUGAAUGUGAGACGAGAGCUCAACAUCUCAGCUUUAUUUCCAUCUGGAUUCGGUACACAGCUCAGAAGAUCACAAGAGUUCUACCAGAACAUCACGUCUGGAGCUGACAGGUUUUUGUUGUUACCCAGGUGUGUCCUGUCAGACCCAUCAGCUGAAUAUCUGCUCUCUUCUGGGUCCUGGUCUGUGCAGACUUGUAGUUGGAGGUGGAACAUCGUGAAAACCAGAGUACCAUCUGCUGGUGAAAAUCCAUGGGACUAAUCCCCCAAAACAAGCUGCAGGAGCCGAGAUGGUCUGAGAUCUUCCAGUGAAGAACAGGACCAGAGCCGUACGUUUGUCUGCCUGCAGAUAGAGGAGCUUCCAGAACAAUUAGUGAAGGUGAAUCAUAUUCAUGGACUUCAUCAGCCCCUCAACCUGUCUCCUGUCUCUGCUCCUCCCAUCCCUGCAGUGAUGAGAGGACCUCUAAGGCCUGUCGUUUCUGAGGGUGAAGCUCUGAGGUCUGAGGAUGGAAACAGGAACUGAGAAACCACAUUGCAUGUCAGUAAUCAGAAUAUCUGAUAAGGUCCUCCUCUGGCAUUCUAACAAUGCUGGAGCUUGUUCUACUGGCAGUGAUGUCCAGCAUCUAAAUGUCUUCACCUUCAGCAGCAAGGCUUUAAUGGCUCUCAGUAGAAGAAGCAGGAGCAGCGGGACAGAAGACCUCCUGAUCUGAUGUUAUCUCAGAAACUAAAGAUCUGCUCUUCAGCUGCAUCUGUGUUUCUGUGGAAGCAGAAGGUGUGAGGAGCAUCAUCUCCCUGCAGCAAGCAAACACCUGAAAAGGCCCUUUUCUUUGGCCAUAGUGCCACCUGGUGGUCAGUUGUAACACUUUAAUUUCCCUUAAAAUCCAGAACACAAAAACUGCAGAUUAGGAUGAAAAAUUAUUUUAAUAGAACUGUUUGUGUCGUGUUUUUAUUGCUCUCUUUUUCUCUCCUGAUUCUCUAUAAAUUUAACAUCUUUCUCACAUCCUAUCAUCACAUGUUAUCCUGUAUUUGAUCUCCUUAUUCUUUAAACAGUUUGUUCCAUCAGAUCAAACCGGAACAGAACCGUUUCCGAACCCCAUGAUGAUAAUGAUCCGAUCCAUCUGUUCAGAUUCUAGACCAGACGUUUUGAUUUUAAAAUGUUCUUUAUAAAACUUAUCUAUUUCAAUUUUUCUGUUGAGAUGAAAAAUAAUAAACAAUAUUUGAUAAAUAAAACAGUAAAGAAUUAGACCAACAACAUAAAAUCAAAAUUCUAACUAGAUUGUUGAUUUAUUUGAAUUUAUCAAAAAAUUCUUAAGCACAUAUUUUUGUUGUAUGAAUGUUUUAACUCUGUUCUUCUAUUGGCUGCAGUCAGUUACUGGCAGCUUUGUGAGCCAAUCAGAUUUAAGCUCUAUGACGCUUCAUGCAUCCUGAGUAGAAAGGUCUCAGAGAAAGAAGAAUAUCAUGAAAGUGCUCCUCAGCUCUGCAGCUGAUGAUGUGGCAGUGAUGUUCCAGCAGCACACGUGUUCCUCUGUAAAGUUCGGAGUUUUAACCAUAAUGCUCCUGUCCUGGUGUUGACACGAGUCUCUUUACACUAAAGGCAUCAUCACAGUUUUAUUGACACUACGUGUCCAAACUGUGGAUUCUUGUGGCCGCCUCAUUUUCAAUUGAGACGAUAUGAAACAUUUUAAUUUGUUACAUUUUGAU